rnacentral:tRNA from 1 species
GGGCGUGUGGCGGAAUUGGUAUACGCGUACGCUUCAGGAGCGUAUGGACGCAAGUCCAUGUGGGUUCAAGUCCCACCACGCCCA